rnacentral:rRNA from 1 species
AUGGCGGAUUCACCUGCUACAUUACAAUACCUCGCUCCUUAUACGGGAGCAGCCCUGGCUGAGUAUUUUAUGUACCGCGAACGGCAUACUUUAAUAAUUUAUGAUGAUCUCUCCAAACAGGCACAAGCUUAUCGCCAAAUGUCCCUUCUAUUAAGAAGACCUCCCGGCCGUGAGGCUUAUCCAGGGGAUGUUUUUUAUUUGCAUUCACGCCUUUUAGAAAGAGCCGCUAAAUUAAAUUCUCUUUUAGGCGAAGGAAGUAUGACCGCUUUACCAAUAGUUGAGACUCAAUCUGGAGACGUUUCCGCCUAUAUUCCUACUAAUGUAAUCUCCAUA